rnacentral:rRNA from 1 species
AGAGUUUGAUCCUGGCUCAGGAUGAACGCUAGCGGCAGGCUUAACACACGCAAGUCGAGGGGCAGCGUGGAGUAGCAAUACUCUGACGGCGACCGGCGAAAGGGUGAGUAACGCGUGAGCAACAUGCCCGUCUGAGGGGGAUAGUCAUUGGAAACGAUGCGUAAUACCCCGUAACAUUGGAAGCCGCAUGACUUCCAAUUGAAAGAUUUAUCGCAGACGGAUUGGCUCGCGUACCAUUAGCUAGUUGGCGGGGUAACGGCCCACCAAGGCGACGAUGGUUAGGGGUUCUGAGAGGAAGGUCCCCCACAUUGGAACUGAGACACGGUCCAGACUCCUACGGGAGGCAGCAGUGAGGAAUAUUGGUCAAUGGCCGAGAGGCUGAACCAGCCAUGCCGCGUGCGGGAGGACGGCCCUAUGGGUUGUAAACCGCUUUUGUUGGGGAGCAAUAAGGUCCACGUGUGGAUUGAUGAGAGUACCCAGCGAAUAAGCAUCGGCUAACUCCGUGCCAGCAGCCGCGGUAAUACGGAGGAUGCAAGCGUUAUCCGGAUUUAUUGGGUUUAAAGGGUGCGUAGGCGGGUGCUUAAGCGUGAGGUGAAAGCUCGGGGCUCAACCCCGGAACUGCCUCGCGAACUGGGCGCCUUGAAUGUCCGUGCCGUGGGAGGAAUGUGUGGUGUAGCGGUGAAAUGCAUAGAGAUCACACAGAACACCGAUUGCGAAGGCAUCUCACGAACGGAUGAUUGACGCUGAGGCACGAAAGCGUGGGGAUCAAACAGGAUUAGAUACCCUGGUAGUCCACGCAGUAAACGAUGAUAACUAACCGCUGGGCAUUCGUGUUCAGUGGCCAAGCGAUAGCGAUAAGUUAUCCACCUGGGGAGUACGACCGCAAGGUUGAAACUCAAAGGAAUUGACGGGGGCCCGCACAAGCGGAGGAACAUGUGGUUUAAUUCGAUGAUACGCGAGGAACCUUACCCGGGCUUGAACGUGAGAUGGAUAUCUAAGAGAUUAGGUAGUUAUUUAUAACGUCUUGCGAGGUGCUGCAUGGUUGUCGUCAGCUCGUGCCGUGAGGUGUCAGGUUAAGUCCUAUAACGAGCGCAACCCUUGUCAUUAGUUACCAGCAUGUGAAGGUGGGGACUCUAAUGAUACUGCCGGCGUAAGCCGCGAGGAAGGGGGGGAUGACGUCAAAUCAGCACGGCCCUUACGUCCGGGGCGACACACGUGCUACAAUGGCCAUUACAGAGGGCAGUUACCUGGUGACAGGAUACGAAUCUCGAAAGGUGGUCUUAGUACGGAUUGGAGUCUGCAACUCGACUCCAUGAAGUUGGAUUCGCUAGUAAUCGCAGAUCAGCCAUGCUGCGGUGAAUACGUUCCCGGGCCUUGUACACACCGCCCGUCAAGCCAUGGGAGUUGGUGGUACCUAAAGAGCGUAACCGCGAGGAGCGUUUAAGGGUAAUGCUAAUAACUGGGGCUAAGUCGUAACAAGGUAGC